AGUAUAUAUUAUUAGUCUUGUGUUUUUAAACAUUAUUUUAAAAGGGAAAGUAUGGAAAAAUCUGUAAUAUUUUAAAAAGUGCUCCAAGAUUUUGCCUUUAGAUUCUGGUCUUGAAAAGACCGUGGCUUUGGUUUGGGAUUAAUUCUCCCUCACUUCUUCCAGAAUGUUGUCAUUUCUAUUCUAUUGUUUUGCAGAUGUAACACAUAUUCUUAAGGUUUCAGGGUACUUUUUAGAGUUACUCAGUGUUAGAAAAGGUGGCCAGCUAUAUGGGUGGAUUUAAUGUACAAUAUAUUUCCAGGGUGGUUGGGGUUUAUUUUUUGAGGUAAGUUUCUUGGUGCUCUAUUUCAGACAUGAUGUUUACAUUUGUGAUAACAGGCAUUCAUGCCCUAGCAGCCUGUGCAUUUUAUAUACCUGGCACUUGGGUCUUGCUAGAGGAUCUAGAAAGAAUGAAAGCAGUCAUAUGGUCCAGUGGAGGAGGCAGACCUAUGAGGUGAUAAACUUCAAAUCAGUGUGAUCCUCACAGUUAAGAGCGGAGAGUUGGUUGAGAUUGAGAGAAUGUUAGACAGCGUUCUUAUUGUACAGAGAAGCAAAAGUCCAGACCACCAGCUCUUGGACCAGUACUGGUCAGCAUCACUGGAGCACGCCUGUUUCCUCCCUCAGCCUUGGACUGCUCAGAGCUGUAAUGCUCAGCUGUGAGACUCUAAGACAUUGGAUUACACUUAACAAAUUUUAGGCCCCCUCUUUACCAGCCUGCCUCCUGAUGGACCUAAAAUCACUUGCCUUUAUGUUGCCUUUCAACUUGUUAAAUUUUUAAAAGUUUCACAGCUCACCCUCCUCCACAAAUCCUGUCUUGGAGUAAGUGAGAGGUAUCUGCUAACAUGUGUUUUGUCUGUCUCCUCUUAGCACUCAGUUACAAGGGCACAGUGUGGGAUUCCCUGUUAUUGCUCAUUUGGAAGGAGAGUGUUCUUUGUUCUUACCCCUCAGAUCUGAUCUCAUUAGAGCAACAGAAUGUUUGAGAUGGAGCCUUAGUUACUCCAGAUGGGCUUUUCUAGUUCUAGCUCACUGGUGGUUUUAGAGUGUAGGACUUGGCAUGAUUGGGAGGGAGGGAGGGUGCUGGAACUCAGGUUCAGAUGCUUUGCUGCGCCUGGAGUGGCUACUGGUAAUAGAGAAUGCUUCCGAGAACCUUGCAGCUGUCACUUGGGUUAUGCUUCGGAUUUAGAAACAGCAUCUGCAGUGGGUUCCUUCAGAACCAGUUCCCAACCACUUUCACUGGGAAAGUAGAAGUUGUAGCUAUCCUUAGGAAGUCCCAAGGCCAAGCAGAGUGUGUAAAGCAGCACCCCCCAGCCUGAGACAACAGCCCCGUUGCUGUUCAUCUCUUCCCAUUUGAUGCCACUGUGUUGCAGGACAUCUUUAUUGUUUUGAAUGGAAUUUAGAGUUAAUUUGGUUCCCCUUCCCCAUUCCUUCAAGAUGGCCCAUACUCUCUGGAGGUGGUUGUAAUCUCAUCUGAGGAACUACUGCCUUACGACUUUCUCAUGCAUUCACAUUUUUCUCUUCCACUGAGUUAAAUUGUGAAUUAAAAUGUGCCAUUGGAUGAAAAAGCAAUGUUUUCAUUUCAGUCAGGCUCUUUUUGUCUGAAAACUGAGUCUUUGGGAUUCCAUGUCUUGAGUGACAGUUUUGUUGUACUAGAGAAGUUGAUGUGUAAAAUUCAGCCUGUGUAAACCAGUGGUUCUCCAUUGUGGCUGCACCUUGUAGUCUUGUGAGGAACCUUUAAAAACACCGCUUGCCCACCAGUCAUCUUUCUGUGGCUUGAGUUCAAUGUGUGUCUCCUUUUCAUCAGAUGGGAAAGAGGUUGGGAUUCUUGCCCUCUUUUCCUGGCAGAUCAUUGAGAUGGCCACAUUUUCUCUGGGUAAUCAGAUUCACCCCUUUCUGCAGGAUGCUCCCCCCCAACCCCUUAAUUUGAAGUGAUUUUUCUCUGCAGCUCUCUGAACCCCUCAUUUGGCUCUUAUAGACUUGACAUCUUGGUUAAUGUCAUCUUUAAAUCUCUAAAAUGUUAUGUUCCAUAUUAACUUGAGCACUCUUCAAGGGCAGGUGUCAUAGUUGUACCCCUAAGGCACAUCCCUAGUAGAAACUCUGCCAGCCCUAUGCCAAGGUCCCAUUUGAAUCCUGGAGUUUGAGCAGAGGAUCAGUUAGGUCUCGUUUCUGCUCUCAGAGGGUUAAAGCUGUAAUCUAGCUGCAGCAGGGUUUAGUAAUUCUGGUGGCUAAAGGUAGAAUGUAAGAGAACAGACAAGGGAGCUCCAAGCCCACAAUUUUUUGCUCACUUUCCAGACACCUGAACUAGAAAUUUCAGACUCUUCCAACUAAAGAAGUCUUAAACUCCUUUUAGUUCUUUUUCCUGUGGAAUGUACUAUCCACCUAUCAGUGACAACAUCACUGGGUCCCAAGCCAGAAAUCCUACUUGGUCUUCGAGUCUUUAAAGUGUCCCUAGAUGGAGGUGAAAUCCUGCGCCCUUGUAUGUUCUGGUCCAAGCUAUGCUCUGACCGUCUUCCUGUCUCAUGCAGAGGUCCACAAAUAUUAAAGGCUAAGCAGUAAAUAUAUUUGGUUUGGGCAGCCAUAUUGUCUUACAGCUAUUCAGCUCUGCCCUUAUAAUGCAAAAACAGCCCAAAGGCAGUAAUUCAGAAAGAAGUGUGUUUGUUCCAAUAAAACUUGAAGUGGGCUGGAUUUCAUAUGUACUUUGUCAAUCACUUACAUGGGCAUUGCAUGGAUAACCUUAACCAGGGUCUGCCAUAAUUAACUUUUGGGAACAUCCCUGUUGUUACUGUGUCCUGCUUAGAUAUCUGCAUGACUCCCUGAGUCCCAAGAGACACUGCUCUUUGAGUGCAGCAGCCAAACCCAGUGAUGACUACGAGCCUCAUCUUGACAUUAGUGAGGUGGAACCAGUGAUGCUCAUCCGCCUCCUGGCCUUGCACAAGGUGGUUACAGAUGACAAGAAUCUAGCUGGUUUCUCUGCUACCCUCAGUGUCUGUGUUGUCCAUGUAAAGGGCUUUAUAAACAUCGGAUUCCCAGCCAGUGCACACAAAGUUGAAGGGUAGAAUUAGGAUAUGCUGAUGAGCCACUGGUAUAUUGAAAUACAAUGAAGAUAAUGCCGGUUAAACUCUUCUCAGUUGACGUAUUGUCCCUGUGUAUUGUCUAGAAAAUACCAUCUGUAGCUGUUAUUAAACUAAAUGCUCUAUUCAUGGAAAGGUUCAUAAGUGUUCUAUACCUUUUGUAUGUUCUCUAGAUGCAACUGCUGAUUUGUUAACCUGGAGUUGGUAUCAUGGCUCCAGAUGUGGCACUAGAAGGCCAGGCCUUUGCCUAGAAAAUUGGCUGAGUUUCCCUGCAUCAAUGCUACUCAACCUUGGGUUGAAUCUGCUUAUACCUUGGAUUUUUGAGAAGCAGUAAAGCAUCAUGGCAUGCUCUGCCUUGUUGAUCCCUUAUGUAUUCUGACAUCACCUGCUCAAAAUUGCCUUGCACUCCAGACUGAGGGAGGUUCCUGAAGCAGAACGAAGGAGUGGCUUACAGUGUUUAUUAAUGUAGGUGCUGAACAAAAGCUUUGCCUCUGUUCAUCCCAUUGCAGGCUGGCUCCCUGCAGCCCAGCAUACUAAUAGUUGUUUUCUUAGCACCACCCGCACUUUCCCAUGGCCCAUGGGGCCUGAGACAACUUCUCACCCUACCAAGAGCCAUCACCUCACCGCGUCCUGCCAGGAGAGGACCAGGCCCAGAAAGCCACAAAAGCUAUUCAUUCCUUCAGUUCAGUAGUCAGCCGUUCUGCAAAGGACUAGGUGGUAAAUAAUUUGAGCUUAUGGGCCAUAGAAUCUGUUGCAGCUACUUAGCUCUGCUUCUGUAGAAUGAUUGUAACCUUAUUUCUUACAUAAGUGAAUUGGCAUGGUCAUAUGUCAGUAAAACUUUAUUCAAGCAGGAAGCAGGCUGAAUUGGCCCAAGGGUGUUUGUCAGUCCCUUUUAGGAUCUUUCCACAGUGGUUUAUUUUAUCACAUUGCAAAAAAUAAUACUAAUACCAGCCAACACUUAAUAGCACCUGCUAUGUGUCAGGUACUCUUCUAAGCAUAGCUCAUAGCCAGCCUUGUUGAAUCUUCACAACCACCCAUGUGGUAGGUGCUGUUCCCCAUUUGAAGAGACCAAGGCCCAGGUUAGUGCAGUUUUCCCAGUCAUACCUCUGAAAGUGGUGGAGCCAGGGCUGUUACCCAGGGGCUACCCCAAAGUCACUCAAAACCACUGCUCCUCCAGCCCCCCAUCUCAGAACUGUGCUCCAUGCCUGAGACAUUAACUAAGGGUGGAUGUAAGCAGCCCUAAUAAUAAAAAGUUCUCUCCGAGGCUGAGAUCCUGUGUUCUUAAAUACUGAGGAAGAAGCAAACUUCCAUGACUGAUUCUUCCCAGAAUUCAGAGCCAAGGAAAUACUUCUCUUUAGACUGUCUGAAGCGCUCCCUCAGUUGUGUCAGGAAACUCCCAGGUUGCAUUCUCCCUCCAGCACAGGCCACCAAUUCAGGCAGGGCUUCCUGUUCUACCUCAACACCCCAGUCACUCUUUAAGCUUCAUUUUGUAUCCAUGCUGUGAGAGAUGGGUUCUGGUUCUCGCAGACCCAAGCUUUCUAUUCUAAGUGCCCUGGAAGUACUUAGGGGGAAAGGUUCCCUGGUAAUUCAGAUACAUUUGGCAAAAUGGACAGUGGCUGCUUCAUGGAGGGAAAAAUCAAAAUAAGCACUGCAUCCAGCAAGAAACGGCCUGUGCACACAGGGAAGGGAGCUGGCAAGGUAUUUUGUUAGCACAAUAGGAUUGCAAGUAGUUCCCUCUAUCCCUGAAUUACCUUUAUCUGUUUUUACUGUACUGGAGAAUCUUAUUUAAAACUCCUUGUAGUGAACAGGGCCUCAUGAAUGGUACCCUAUAUGUGACUGCCUCCUCUCUCUGGGGAUGAGGUCUUUUGGUUCGGCAUCUGCUGACUCAUGAACUCAGUCCUCUUCCUAGGCACAUGCCAGAAAUUUGAAGGGAUUUCAGGAUUCCUCCCAGCCCCUUCCAACCAGGCAGGCUCAGAUUUUCCACUUGUGCAUUGAGGUCAGCGCCUGCAUUUCUGCUGGCGAGCUCCCCACACAUCAGUACCCGGCCUCAGCCGGGGGCUUCUCCCACUUGCCCUGGAAUUCACUCCCCACACAGGUCUUCCCUCCCCCCAGGCUGAGCAUGAGCCCCACCUUACCCAGUUGUGGGGGUGGCUGCUUUGGUGACUCUGGGCAGCCUGGCUGUGCCCUGGCCCUGGGCCACCAGGAUGAGAGGGCGGCCCCUGUGUUUGCUCAAGCCUUCCUGGGAUAGGGAGGAGACUUCUGGCCAGGCAAGGAACAGCAGGAUUACUGUUGCUUGUGAAGAGCUUUGUCCCCUUUCCUUUUUAGUGUAUCUAGAAAAGGUGCUCAGCAAUCCUGACUGGUAGGGUUUUACAGUGAAUAUGGCUCUUCUCUGUCCACACUGGUCUUGGGGACUUCGGCAUCUUUAAGUACCUGGAUUCCAAGCCUACCACCUCCACUUAGCAGUCCCACUUACUAAAGCCUCAGUCUCCAUGAACCUCAAAGUGGAAGUUUGGGCAAUCGUACCAACGUGGAAUGUGGCCAUGUGGCAAAAAAUGUAUAUAUAGUACAUGCAUAAAAACCUUUACAACACUGAAUUUGUCCCUUGACUGGUCUGUCAGUAAGCCAGGGUGACCAGUCAUCCCAUCGUUCCCAGGACAGAGGAUUCCAGACCAGGCUUUGAUAGUAAAACCAGCAUUGCCCUGGGUGAACUGGGGCAAUUGGUCACCCUAUUGUGAACUCGAAUGUCAGCAUUCUUUAAGCCAGUGGCUUACUUCUCAAAACAGAUUCAAAAGCUAAACUAAAAGUGUAUAGGAGACCAACAGUGUUGUUUUGUAACCUUAUGCUCCCCAAACCAAGCCUAGUCCCCGUCUCUCCAGGUCUAGUAGGCCACAGAAUGGUUCAAAACUAGGGGUAGGGUAGGGUGCAUGGAAGCUCAUCUCCAAGGAGGUACUCCAAGGAGACAGCACUUCUUGUGGGCAGGGUGACCCACUGUCCUGGGAGCGAGCGAAUCAUUACACCCAGACACCAUCCUGGCAGUGAGCGCAUGAUCCUUCCUCUCUUGGAGGAUAUGAAUACACAGGACAAGAAGCUGCUCUUGGCUGAAUAGAGACAGAACUUCCUGUAGCCAUAGACCCCCUCACUGAAAGGAAAGCAUGUCCUGUCAUCCCAUCUUGGCUCUGAGCUGGUGAGGCCACGUGUGUUGGCCUGGCUACCUUCUCUGUUUCUGCCUAGCUGUUGCCCCUUACCUUGAGGCUCCAGCCGCAGCAGCCUUAUUCUAGAUUCUCCAAAGCCAAAGCCCCUUUCCUUCCCCUGUUCUUCCUUUGAUCUCAGCCCAGGGGCCAUGUCCUUGAGGAUUCUUUCCCUGAACUAAAUAGGCCACCAUUCAUACUGGGUGCUGCCGCCCCAGCCAGCCCGGGAGCUCUGUGAGGCAGAUACCAAGAUGGUGGUGGUGCUGGUCCAAGUCCCUGUGGCCUGAGCCGACCCACUGCUUGCCACAGAGCAGAGCAGUCUGUGCUUAGCAGAGUUGAUUUGAAUGAAUAGAACAGAGAAGCCUAGAGUUUAACCCCUUUCCUCCCAAGCCUUUUCCAUAGGCAGCCUGCCUGCCACCAUUAGCCAUUUCCCAUAGCAUAACCCAGGCCCUAACCAAGUAAGAGCCACUCUACCUCAUUUCUCUCCCAUCCUUUGUGAGAAAAUACUUUCAUUUUAUGACUAACUCUGCUCCUCAUUUCUCUCAUGUUAUCUUAAUGAAUUAACUGGGUCCCCAUCAUUCCCCUGGCCCCCUGCAGUUUACGAGCUGUACUGCAAUAUCUGCGAUCUUAGUCAACCCCACACAGUUGUUGUGCUGGUUCCUAUUACAGUAAUUGGCAUAAACUUUAUUCUUUUACAGAGAGAUUUUUUGGCCCGCUGAGACUGCAUAACCAUCUGCCAUAAAUUGAGACUAGUACGGCUUAUUUUGGUGAAUGCAAAAUUGGAUCCCAUUCUUUACUCUGUGGCUUGAUUCAACUUCCAGAUGGUUAAUCCACAUGAAGUAAUAGGAAUGCACCACAGCUCUGCUUAGCUGAAGAUGGAGACGUAAUAUUUAUUUGCUGAUGUGGAGGCCUCCAAUCGCUGCCCAGUCGGAAUGUCAGUAUAUAACACAGCAGCACAAAAAUGUCAGCUUGUUCCGUAGGAGCGACGGCUUUCCUCUCAGUUUCCAUGGGGAAACCUUGAAUGUCUUUUUUUUUUUCUUUUUUGGUCUGCCCUUGACCUAAUCUCAAGAGGUUUUGUUCUCUCUUGGGCUGUUUCUUAUCAGCUACGUCUGCCCAUGUAGCCGGCUUCACAUCUGCUUUGACUUUAGUGCCUGUGACAUUUUCAUUAAUACUUCUCCAAGGUUGAGCCUUUUUUCCAAAUAUCCUACAGCUCACAGAAGCUUUAACUCAGCUGUGCCCAGCUGGAAGCUGCUGGGAAAUUGGGCCCCAUGAUACCCACAGGCUUGGACAUCUCCAUCCUAUUGAGGGAACAGUUCUCUAAUCUCAGUUCCAAGCUCCGCCUGGCUGGCUUACAGUUGCCACUGAGAAAAGACUGGAAGAAGGAAUAGUUGGGUACAAGAAAAUAUUCAUGGUAGGGAAAGCGACCCAUGCCUGUUUCCCACAUAUGUCUCCAAAGUUUUGGGAUGGACUUGAUUGGAAAUUAGAUCAAGGAAAUUUUAGUAGUAUGAGAAUUCUAUCUAGGCUUUUUUUUUUCUUUUAAAGAAUGAAAACCUUGAACAUUUCAAGAAUGAAACAAAUAAGAAAACAUCUAAAAAUUCUAAAAUGGAAUGGACUGGAACCAUGAACAGUCUGUGGGAUUGCUCUUUCUUCCUUAAUUUUCACAGGAGCAGGUAGUAAGAACAAAAGGCUGGCCCCUUGUACCUGAUUAAGGAAGCCCAACAUGCUUUGGUGCUUUCAGAUGUUUAAAAUCUCCAGCACAACAAGUACACCUGCAUGUUCAGAUGACUCAAGUGUGAGGUCUCCAGGCUGGGCAGUGAGGGCCAGCAACUGAGAAAUAGGCCAAUGAACCUCGGUUCCUCAGCCUAUGCAGGGCUAACCCAAGGAAUGACGUGUCCUAUCACCUGAGUUAACCCCCAGCCUUACUCCAAGUAGCCCUAUUGCUUUCAGCAGCAGCUUUUAGCCUGUCUGUCCCAUUCAUGUCUGCACAGUGUAGGUGGAAAGACCCAAUUCUUCUCUGUGUUUGGGUAGAUAUGAAGGAUUCUUUGCAUGGGUUUUGCCUGCCCAUGGAAUGCUGCAAUUGGUCCCACACACUGCCUGCAAUCAUCCCUUUGGCAAGAGAGAACAGGAAAUAAGCCGAGCCAGGAACUGAAAAAGCCCAGUGGUCACCCACCUGUGUCAAACCCACUGGACUUAGUGGCAGCAUUUAAGUGGAUGAGUUAACACUCCAGCAGUGGGUUGAGCUGUGAGCCCAGGAAAGCUGGAGAUCUGGCUCCACCCAUAGCUCCCCAGCUGGGUCAAGUAUGCCCCUCAGGCCCAGCAUCAGGUGCAUCAGCAGAUCCUGUUGGCUCUACCUUCAAAAUCUGUCCAGAUCCAGUAUUUCCUUUUCCCUGUAACAACAAAUCUAACCCAGCAAGCAACCAUCCUCUCCCUGGAUUGUUGCUCAGAAGUUUCCUGUCUGGACUCCCCUCCCCUAGGGGACCCACAGGGUUCCUUUUAGAUAUCAAACAGGUUGCAUGCCUCUGCUCGAAGCUCUCACGUGUAACUCAGAGUGGAAUGUAGAUUCCUUAUUGACCCUCUUAGGUCCCCUCUGUCCUCAUCCUCUCCCAGUCUUCCCCUCCUUUACUGCAGCCACACUGGCACCUGCUGGCUACUUCUCCAACCCACCAUGAGGCAGGUCUCAGCACCAGCUCAUCCUGUUGCCUGGAAUGAUCUACCCAAUCCCUCAUGGCUCCCUCCCCCAAAUCACAUCUUCAGGAGCGUCCCUCCCAUCUGAAUUCUUCCUGGCACUUACCACUCUGUGCGUGUGUGUGUGUGUGUGUGUGUGUGUGUGUGUGUGUGUGUGUGGACUAGAAGUUCCAUGAGAAUCUCUUGGCAGUAAGCAUUUGCAGUGAGUGACUCCACCAUUCCUCCCAUGUCAGAAUAGGCAGCAACUCUCAGUGAACCACACAGUAGUUGCAAAGAUCACAUAAAACUGAACAGGGCUGUCCAAAUGUAAUAAUGGCCAUUAAUGUCUCCACCCCAGAGCGGUGAUUCUGGAGCAUUCUGUGUAAUUGGAGCACAAUUAAGCAUAUGGCAGUACUUCCACUGGGUUGUAGAUCUGAUUCCGAGCUUACUCAACAUGGACUCUGGUUUCUUUCUUUUUUCCUGUAAGAACAAAUCUGGAUCCGCCAUCAGCAGGCCCUGUGGUCUGGACCACAAGGGAAUACUGGGGAAUGAGAUUCAUGCUAACAGGGCUUAAUCCCGAGGCAUUGGGCUAUAUAUCCAAUGACAAUUUUCUGGAUUUUGCAGCCAACAUAAAUAACAGCAAGAGGAUUCCCACUGUGUGACGUGAGAUGCAUCCUGCUGGGAUAGGGUAGGAAGCUGCCCUGCCUGAGCUACAAGCAAUGGCAGGGCCUCCGAGGGAGUCAGCAGAGCUGCACCUGCCAUCCCCUUUCACAGGCAACCAGCAGUACUCACUGCCCAUCUUGCUUGCUCUUCAGUGCCUCCAGGCUCUGGGCAGAGCCUGCUCAGCAUGAGGAGGACUGAUGGCUCCCAGCAAAGGUUAGUAUAAAGGCACUUACUUCCCACCCAAUUCAGCUAUGUGGCAAAAAUUUCUUUUGGGUGUGUGCAAAUCGUAUCUUUCUUACUGGACUUACCUUCAGAGGGACGAAGUCUGCGUUUUAGUGGCCAGCCUGUGGAAACUUGGAAGCCAUCAGUGGCACCUCAUUUGUAUAGAUGAUACAGUUAAGGAAGGGAGGUGUCUUGUAGAGCAGGAUUAGAAAUGCUUGUGUAUCUUUCCAUGAGGGAGUGAAUAGAUAAGGGCUGUUCAUAAAAUAGAAUAUUAUACAGCAAUAAAAAGGUGUGAGCCAAGGAUGGGGGUGAGCUCUUGCCUGGGACAAACAAGGUCCUGAGUUCAGUCACCAGUAUUGCCCCCUCCCCCGUCCCCACCAAAAAAGGAGUGAAGUGUGGCUACAGUUACCAGCAAGGAUAAACCUUACAAGUUAAUUUGGACAGAGAGAAGUUGCAGGUAAGCCACAGAGGAUGAUAAUAUCCAUGUUCACUAAAGUCAUCUACCCAAAGCCAUGCUGUUUGUUGUUCUUGGAUACAUAGAAGAUGGCAGACAGCUUGGAAGGAUGAGACCACCUUAAAUACACAAUGGCCCGUGUCCAUGGCAGGGAGGAGGGGAGUUGAGGGCAACCUGGAGUGAUAAUGAUGCUGAGCCACUCAUAGACAAGUGUCCUUGAGGGGAUAAACUGGUUCCAGUGUACCUGCCAAUUAAAAAUAAACAAGGCUCCUGCUAUCUCCCAGCAUGCACCAUGGCACAGCCUGGCCAAGCGGCCCAUGAGCCAUAGUUGGCCUCCCCAUUGAGUCCUCAAACAAUCCCAGCUACUGGAGGCUAAAGCGAGGGGACUGAGAGUUUGAGGUCAGCCUGGGGAACUUGGGAGAUCCUGUCUCAAAAUAAAGAGCUGGGAGGCCGGGGAUUUAGCUCAGUGGUUCUGUCACCUGCCUUGCAAGCGCAAGGACCCAAGUUCAAUCCCUGGUACCAAAACAAAAAUAAAUAAAGAGCUGGGGAUGUAGCCUGGUAGAUAGAGCACUUGCCUAGCCUGUGUGGGGCCCUGGUUCAAUCCUCAGCACUGCAAAAACAAAAUGAAACAAAACAAAAAACCUACAGGAUGUUUGCAUUCAUAAAACCCAUGUUCAGGCUGAAUGUCCCUUAUUUAAAGUGUGUGAGACUAGCAGUGUUUCAUGUGUUUUCAAAUUUUGGAAUAAUCAUACAGACUGUCCUGGCUAAACAUCCCUAAUCGGAAAUUAUCAAAUCCAAAAUGCUCCAAAAUCCAGAACUGUGAGUACUGACAUGAUGCUCAAACACUUUUGGAUUUUGGAGCACUUCAGAGUUUGGAUCUUCAGAUUAGGGAUUCUCAGCUAGUGCGAGGAGAGCUUUCUCAGCCAACAGAUACAAGCAACCAUGCACUAGCUUAUUCUCCCUUCUCCUGAGAGCAUCUGUGUAGCCCUCAAUCUGUGUGGGAAAUUGUUGUCUACUUGUUCUGUGUCUGCUUGGUUUUGCUCUUCCCUUGCUCUUGGUAAGGGAGCUUGAUUUGGCUACAGCACCCCUUCCUCAAAGGCCAGUUUUCUUCUUUGGUUCUUGUCUUCUCUUUAUCUGACCCCACUCGCCUGGAACAGCUUCUCUACCUCACAAGCUCUGCUAGGUGGGAUCCAGAUGUCAAAGCAAGGUAGUUCCUCCCCUCAGGAGGCUUACAAUUCACUCUGCUCCCUUCUUUAGGCAGGUCAUUGAGUGGAAGGCAGGGCUGGAGGUGGAGGAAAGGCAUCACCAAGGGAGAGCACUGACCAAAGCAUGAGCUUUUGUAGAAGCCUCGACAGGCAGCCAGCCAGGGGUGCAGAGAGGGGGAAGAAGGGAGAGGACGUGGAGCACAGGUUUCUGGGAAACCAGGAAGGUGGCACUACGUUACAAAGAAAGGGGCUCUGUCCACCUGCAAGAGCCAUCUACCCAGUGCCGUGCUGUUUGUUGUUCCUGGAUACUGAGUAAAAGAUGGCAGACAGCUUGGAAGGAUGAGACCACAUUAAAUACACAAUGGCCCACGUCUGUGGCAGUGAGGAAGGGAAAAGUGAAGGUCUCAAGGAUCCACUCAUGUGGGUUGGGCAAAAGGAGGGCGCUGGCUAAGAGUCCACCCAGGUUGAGACAAUUAGGGGCAUAAUUUGGAAUGAGUCAUCUUGGUGGAGGCCAGAGAAGUAGGGUGCUGGGCGGGUGUGGUCCUCUUCAUCGUAAUUGCUGCCGACUCUAGCCUCCUCUGACAGGGCACUAAGCUAAAUUAAUCCACAGCUGAAUCUCCUUGCAGUGUGGUUAGGAAGAGCAAAUCUGCCUGAACCUGACACCAAGUGACCUGGUGAGGACCCUGACCUGGGGGCAGGAAGUAGGGGACGAGACGUGGGGGAGAACAGGCAAGUUGUAGCCCUGUUCCUUUCUGCAGUAAUGCCCCAGUUUGGGGCUGGGAUGCAGCGGAGUGAUAGAAUGCUUGCCUAGCAUGUGUGAGACCCUGAGCGCCAUCCCCAACCCUAGAAAUAACUGUCCUAGUGUGGGGCUGGUGAUGAGGCACAGUGACAGAGCCCUUGCCUAGCAUGUGUCUUGGAUUCCAUCCCCAGCACUGCAAAAAUAAUAAAGCCCUAAUCUUGGAAACAGCAAUAAUGUCAUAGACCAUCAGUUCUAAGAAGUACUCUUAGCUGGGCUGGCAUAUGCCUGUAGUCCCAGCACUCUGGGUUGGUGGGGGGGGGGGCAUGAAGGCAGGAGAAUCACAAGUUCAAAUCCAAUGUGGGCAACUUAGUGACUUAGUGAGAUCCUGUCUCAAAAAAUUAAAAAGUUUAAAAAGGACUGGAGAUGUGGCUCAGUGCAAAGCCCCUGGGUUCAAUCCCCAGUAUGAGGAGACAGCUUUACCUGGACUCACACUGCAGCCCCAUGACUUCCAGAUCCCGUGGGUCACAUCCUGUUUCUGAGCCUUACGUCGCUCCUCUGUAAGAAGGUGGGGGAGGCAGUAAGAGUCCCCAUGUCACAGGUGCUGGAGGACUCUGCAUAACAUGCAGGCAGUGCUUCAUGGAGAGCCUGGGCACAGAACUAGACCCCUGCUGGGCUGAGCGAAGGCCCCGGAGUCUGUUGCCAGGGUUGGGAGUGUCCACUGUCUGACUUUCCAUCUCCUUUUAAUAGCAGGAUGGGGCUGGGGAGUGGCCUCAUCAUGGAAGCACCAUAAUGAUUUAAGGAGAUUAGGUACAAAAAGCUUAGUGUGCAUUGGCGUCCUUGCAAAAUUAGGUGCUCUGUAAAAUGCAUUCAUUCAUUCGAGAUGAGGCCUUACUUUGUGGCACACACUAGUCUUGAACUUCCGGGCUCAAUGGCUCCUUCCACCUCAGCCUCCUAAGUAGCUGCAGCUCCUGGUACAUGCCACCACACCCAGCUCCAUCAAAAUUUACGUUAUUCUGUGAACAGUCUAUACUGUUUCAUAGAUUUUUUUGGGGGGGGUCCUUCCACAUGACCUUUGUGUGGGCUGUUUCUCCUGCCAGGAAUGUGGCUGGCUCUUUGGUUUUGUGUCCACUCCCCACUGCCCUGUGUUUACUCUGUGCCUGUGGAGUGCUCCAGGGAAGCUCCUCCAUCCCUGCCUGUUAAUGGCUAGCUCCCCUUUGUCGUUACCUCUCCCUUUAGUCUGUACAAGACAGGGACACGACACCUUCCCUACUUCCACACAUGGACUGUAGCUCACAAUCAAAGCUCAAUGUUGAGUGAAUGGUGGAUGGGGGCUUGCAUCUCCAGAAAACUCCUAAAGAGUGAAUUAAAAGCAAAGAAUUUGGGCCUGGUGUGGGUGAGGAAGAGAGUUAUUGUGGGCAGAGGACAAGGCACAUUUGGGGUCAGAUGAGGCUGUAUUCAGAGCCCAGCUCUGGCCUUACAAAUUUGCUGGUGCUGCCCACAUACAGAGCCUCAGUUUCUUCAUCUGCAGAACGGGGAGAAUGAGGUGCCCGCCUGUGAGUUUCUGGGAAGAGUAAAAAUACAACUCAAUCUGUGCACAGGUUACUUUUGCCACAUUACUUGAAAGGGGGGGAUCUUUAACCAGCGAGGGACACUCUAGGAUCCUCCUGCACCUGGUGCCUGGGGAUGUGCUGUAGAGAUGAGGCUGAGCCUACUGUGGAGUCAUAAUUGCUGGGUCAGAUUUAAUUGUGUGCUGAAGGCAGAUGGCUGAAGGCCGGGCAGCUGUGACACCUCACUCGUUCUGUUUGCUCACCUGAAGCUCUGCCCUGGGGACCCAGGGCCCUCUACUCCCAAGGUCCACACAAAGGUCGGGCUGUGGCAGCACGGAUAUGUCUAGGCAAUUCUUGCCUAUGGUGGAGGCAUCCCAGGCUGUUGUUCCUUCUUGGCCUGCAGUGGGGGAAUUGUGAGUCAGGCAAGGGCUCGGGAUGGUUGGUGAAAAGAGAAGGCCCUGAGUGCAAGGCAGGUUCAGGAGGGGGAAGGCAAAUAGGAUCACAAAGAAUCUUUGUCUCCAGAUGGGAGCUGCAGGACCUGCAGAAUGAGGGGUGCGAGGACUUUUGCAAACAGCCCGAGGUGUUGCCACACCAACCACGUGGUGUUUCCUCACACCCGUAUCUCCCUCCUUCCUGUCUGCACAUGCAUGGCUUGUGUGGCUGCAGGCACGUGUGCAGCCUCUUUUCGCGAGAUUGCCCAUGUUUCUGCAUGCUUCUCAUAGUUCACAUUUUUUUUUUUCCGGUACCGGGGAAUAGUUCACAUUUUUAAUGGUUACUAAGUUGUCUGUGGUGGUGUCUCAGGAGUAACUAACACGCACUUGUGCACACACACACACACACACACACACACUGCACCACACCUUUGCCACCUGCAGCAUUCACAUGGCUGCUAGCUUUCCACCAAGAUAGACAGCACUGGGACAAACCCUUUACGUGGAUUGUUUGUUUUUGCUGCUUCUGAAUUCUCUCCUGGGUCUUCCUCCCUAAUUUUGCCAUUUGGGGUUGAGGAUGACACUUUCAUCAGGGCUGUUCAACACAGGGACAGAUUGUCUCACACGGCAGUGAGUCUCUUGGGCCUGAGGGUGUGCAAGACAACUGGGACAGCCAUCCACUGAGCUGGCAACUACUUGUUGGGCUCACAGUGUGCCAGUCCUGUGUUAGGUGCUGAAGAAACAGACGACACCACCUUCUCCUUCCUGGAGCUCACACUAGGGGAAGAGAUGUGAAGACCUCGCAGGUUGUGCCUUGCUGUGCUGUGACUGGAAGUUCAGGGCUGCUGGCUCCUCUGACUGGAACCGGCUCCAGUGCCUGGGUGAUGAGUCCCUGGGUGUCACGUGCUUCGUGGGACUUCUGCUCCAUCAGUCUGCAGUUCUUUCAUCCCUGGGUGACCUUGUAAUUCAGAGGCCCAUGUGUGAGGCCUGCCUCAGUCAUGGCUGGGGACCAGAGCUUGCGUGAAGCUUCUCUGAAUAUUUCCCUGCACAACUGACUCCUGUCCAACUGAAACUUUGCACUCUGACCAAUAUCACUGGCUUCCCCCUCCCACCCUGCCAUGGCAACCACCAUGCUCUCUGCUUCUGUAAGUUUAUUUGUUGAGACAGGGUCUCUCUCUGUAUUCUAGGCUGGCCUCAAACUCACUGUGUAGCCCAGGCUGGCUUUGAACUUGUGAUCCUCUUGCCUCGGCCUCCCAACUGCUAGGAUUAUAGGCAUGCACCACUGUGCCUUGGAGUUGCCAUUUUUAGGUUCCACGUGCAAGUGAGCUCAUUUGGUAUUUUUCUUUCUGUGUCUGGCUUACUUCACUUAGCAGCAUUUCUUCCAGGUUCAUCCAUACUGCAAAUGACAAGAUCUUUUAUAAGGCUGAAUAAUAUUCCAAACCUGUGUGUAUGUAAUUGUUGCCAACUAAAAAUAAAUUUGUCAACCAAAAUUCAA